rnacentral:rRNA from 1 species
GAUGAACGCUGGCGGCGUGCCUAAUACAUGCAAGUCGAGCGAACAGACGAGGAGCUUGCUCCUCUGACGUUAGCGGCGGACGGGUGAGUAACACGUGGAUAACCUACCUAUAAGACUGGGAUAACUUCGGGAAACCGGAGCUAAUACCGGAUAAUAUAUUGAACCGCAUGGUUCAAUAGUGAAAGACGGUUUUGCUGUCACUUAUAGAUGGAUCCGCGCCACAUUAGCUAGUUGGUAAGGUAACGGCUUACCAAGGCAACGAUGCGUAGCCGACCUGAGAGGGUGAUCGGCCACACUGGAACUGAGACACGGUCCAGACUCCUACGGGAGGCAGCAGUAGGGAAUCUUCCGCAAUGGGCGAAAGCCUGACGGAGCAACGCCGCGUGAGUGAUGAAGGUCUUCGGAUCGUAAAACUCUGUUAUUAGGGAAGAACAAAUGUGUAAGUAACUAUGCACGUCUUGACGGUACCCAAUCAGAAAGCCACGGCUAACUACGUG